UACGUAGGGGGCAAGCGUUGUCCGGACUUACUGGGCGUAAAGCGUGUGCAGGCGGGUGGGUAUGUGGCGUGUGAAAGCUCUCAGCUUAUCUGGGAGAGGUCGCGGUAGACAGGCUGCCUGGAGGCUCGGAGAGGUCAGUGGAAUUCUCGGUGUAGUGGUGAAAUGCGUAGAUAUCGGGAGGAACACCAGUGGCGCAGGCGGCGUCCUGGACCGGCACUGACGCUGAGGAGCGAAAGCGUGGGGAGCGAUCCGG
rnacentral:rRNA from 1 species